rnacentral:rRNA from 1 species
UACGUAGGGGGCAAGCGUUGUCCGGAUUUAUUGGGCGUAAAGAGCGUGUAGGCGGCCAUGCAGGUCAGCUGUGAAAACUCGAGGCUCAACCUCGAGACGUCGGUUGAAACCGUAUGGCUAGAGUCCGGAAGAGGAGAGUGGAAUUCCCGGUGUAGCGGUGAAAUGCGCAGAUAUCGGGAAGAACACCUAUGGCGAAGGCAGCUCUCUGGGACGGUACUGACGCUGAGACGCGAAAGCGUGGGUAGCAAACAGG